UAUUGGACAAUGGGGGAAACCCUGAUCCAGCCAUGCCGCGUGUGUGAAGAAGGCCUUUUGGUUGUAAAGCACUUUAAGCAGUGAAGAAGACUCUAUGGUUAAUACCCAUAGACGAUGACAUUAGCGGCAGAAUAAGCACCGGCUAACUCUGUGCCAGCAGCCGCGGUAAUACAGAGGGUGCAAGCGUUAAUCGGAAUUACUGGGCGUAAAGCGAGCGUAGGUGGCUUAAUAAGUCAGAUGUGAAAUCCCCGGGCUUAACCUGGGGACUGCAUCUGAUACUGUUGGGCUAGAGUAGGUGAGAGGGAGGUAGAAUUUCAGGGGUAGCGGUGAAAUGCGUAGAGAGCUGGAGGAAUACCGAUGGCGAAGGCAGCCUUCUGGCAUAAUACUGACACUGGGGCUCGAAAGCGUGGGUAGCAAACA
rnacentral:rRNA from 1 species